UGACUCUAUAUCUCAUAUAUGAAUUUUCAUCUUACCUCCCUGUCUGAUGACCUGUCUUGGGCUCACUUUCCUGUCUUUGACCUUGAAACAUUCUUGAUGACAUCAUAUUAUAUAAAUACAGAAUGAAGUAGGGUAAUGAAAUCAACACACAGAAGUUAAAGUGAUUUGUUGUAAGUGAAGAAAACGGAAGGCUGGCUGGUAUAUGGAAGAGUGAAGUUUUGAAUGCAGCUACAUCAUCAAGACAUGUACCACCAAGCUCAGCCGAGUCGGUCCACACCACUCUUUAAAAACCUGAGACCAAGAAAGAAGAACAACGCUGGACAAAAGCGGGAGAGAUUGUUGCUGUAGCUGGGA